CGAGCGCUCCUUCGGUGGGAGCGGCUGACGGGUUAGUAACGCGUGGGAACGUACCCAGAUCUAAGGGAUAGCCACUGGAAACGGUGAGUAAUACCUUAUACGCCCUUCGGGGGAAAGAUUUAUCGGAUUUGGAUCGGCCCGCGUUAGAUUAGAUAGUUGGUGGGGUAAUGGCCUAACAGGCUACGAUCUAUAGCUGGUUUUAGAGGAUGAUCAGCAAGCACUAGGGACUGAGACACGGCCCAGACUCCUACGGGAGGCAGCAGUGGGGAAUCUUAGACAAUGGGCGCAAGCCUGAGUCUAGCCAUGCCGCGUGAGUGAUGAAGGCCUUAGAGGUCGUAAAGCUCUUUCGCCAGGGAUGAUGAUGACAGUACCUGGUAAAGAAACCCCGGCUAACUCCGUGCCAGCAGCC
rnacentral:rRNA from 1 species